GUGGGGAAUCUUGCACAAUGGGGGAAACCCUGAUGCAGCGACGCCGCGUGAGCGAUGAAGCCCUUCGGGGUGUAAAGCUCUUUCGGCAGGAACGAUAAUGACGGUACCUGCAGAAGAAGCUGCGGCUAACUACGUGCCAGCAGCCGCGGUAAUACGUAGGCAGCAAGCGUUGUUCGGAAUUACUGGGCGUAAAGAGUGUGUAGGUGGUGUCGUAAGUUUGGUGUGAAAUCUCCCGGCUUAACUGGGAGGGUGCGCCGAAGACUGCGAUGCUGGAGUAUGGGAGAGGAAAGCGGAAUUCCUGGUGUAGCGGUGAAAUGCGUAGAUAUCAGGAGGAACACCUGCGGUGUAGACGGCUUUCUGGACCAUUACUGACACUGAGACACGAAAGCGUGGGUAGCAAACAGGAUUAGAAACCCUAGUAGUCC
rnacentral:rRNA from 1 species